rnacentral:rRNA from 1 species
UCCCAGCGGUCCAAGUCGCAGCCACAUUUGUUGGGUCUAAAACAUCCGUAGCUUGCUUUGCAAGUCUUUUGUGAAAUCGGGCAUCUUAAGUGUCCGGCGUGCAAAAGAUACUGCUUAGCUAGAGACCGGGAGGCGUAAAGAGUACUUUAGGAGUAGCGGUUAAAUGCGUUGAUCCUUAAGGGACUAUCAGUCGCGAAGGCGCUUUACGAGAACGGAUCUGACAGUGAGGGAUGAAGGCUAGGGGCGCAAAGUG